GACGAACGCUGGCGGCGUGCUUAACACAUGCAAGUCGAACGAAGAGCGAUGGAAGCUUGCUUCUAUCAAUCUUAGUGGCGAACGGGUGAGUAACGCGUAAUCAACCUGCCCUUCAGAGGGGGACAACAGUUGGAAACGACUGCUAAUACCGCAUACGAUCUGAUCUCGGCAUCGAGGAUAGAUGAAAGGUGGCCUCUACAUGUAAGCUAUCACUGAAGGAGGGGAUUGCGUCUGAUUAGCUAGUUGGAGGGGUAACGGCCCACCAAGGCGAUGAUCAGUAGCCGGUCUGAGAGGAUGAACGGCCACAUUGGGACUGAGACACGGCCCAGACUCCUACGGGAGGCAGCAGUGGGGAAUCUUCCGCAAUGGACGAAAGUCUGACGGAGCAACGCCGCGUGAGUGAUGACGGCCUUCGGGUUGUAAAGCUCUGUUAAUCGGGACGAAAGGCCUUCUUGCGAAUAGUGAGAAGGAUUGACAGUACCGGAAUAGAAAGCCACGGCUAACUACGUG
rnacentral:rRNA from 1 species